AGUCACAGCAGCCAGCUGCUGUAGAAGAGGGGAGGAAACAAGCCAGUGCAAGGGGAGCAAAAGAGAAAAGGAGCCAGGCUGGGCUUCCUGAUCCCACAGCAUCGCAGAGCUCGGGAGGCACAGCUCACAGACACAGGAAACACAGGACUGCUAUUCUGCUCUCCUGCCCACGGUGAUCUGGUGCCAGCUGGUGGAACAGUGGGUGAUGGCGUCCCUGCUGCAAGACCAGCUGACCACUGAUCAGGACUUGCUGCUGAUGCAGGAAGGCAUGCCGAUGCACAAGGUGAGGUCCAAAAGCUGGAAGAAGCUAAGAUACUUCAGACUUCAGAAUGACGGCAUGACAGUCUGGCAUGCACGGCAGGCCAGGGGCAGUGCCAAGCCCAGCUUCUCAAUCUCUGAUGUGGAGACAAUACGUAAUGGCCAUGAUUCCGAGUUGCUGCGUAGCCUGGCAGAGGAGCUCCCCCUGGAGCAGGGCUUCACCGUUGUCUUCCAUGGCCGCCGCUCCAACCUGGACCUGGUGGCCAACAGUGUUGAGGAGGCCCUGAUAUGGAUGCGAGGGCUCCAGCUGUUGGUGGAUCUUGUCACCAGCAUGGACCAUCAGGAGCGCCUGGACCAAUGGCUGAGCGAUUGGUUUCAACGUGGAGACAAAAAUCAGGAUGGUAAGAUGAGUUUCCAAGAAGUUCAGCGGUUAUUGCACCUAAUGAAUGUGGAAAUGGACCAAGAAUAUGCCUUCAGUCUUUUUCAGGCAGCAGACACGUCCCAGUCUGGAACCCUGGAAGGAGAAGAAUUCGUACAGUUCUAUAAGGCAUUGACUAAACGUGCUGAGGUGCAGGAACUGUUUGAAAGUUUUUCAGCUGAUGGGCAGAAGCUGACUCUGCUGGAAUUUUUGGAUUUCCUCCGAGAGAAGCAGAAGGAGAGAGACUGCACCUCUGAGCUUGCUCUGGAACUCAUUGACCGCUAUGAACCUUCAGACAGUGGCAAACUGCGGCAUGUGCUGAGCAUGGAUGGCUUCCUCAGCUACCUCUGCUCUAAGGAUGGAGACAUCUUCAACCCAGCCUGCCUCCCCAUCUAUCAGGAUAUGACUCAACCCCUGAACCACUACUUCAUCUGCUCUUCUCAUAACACCUACCUAGUGGGGGACCAGCUUUGUGGCCAGAGCAGCGUCGAGGGAUAUAUACGGUGCAGUGGUGGUAGAGAAGGGGUCCAACUCAUGAGAGGGACCAUGUAGAAAAGUGAGGGGAGCUGUCAGUGUCUAACAGAUUGGGACAGUGUUGUGGGGGUUUAGGGGCUGAGGAGCCCUGGAUACCAGAGACACUUGGAGGAGAUAUUGAAGACUGGUGGGAGAAUGGUAAUGAAACCCUAUGGGUAAAUGGAACUUCUCUUUCACAAGCUAUGAAACUCUCCUGGAACUCAGAGGCCCUGACAGAUUUAUAUUUAACAAAUUAAUAAACAGAUUGUUAAAUGGAAGGCAAUAGAGAAUAGGAGUUAAAAAUAUAGGUUCUGGAGUCAGCCCAUCUGAAAUUAUAUCCUAGCUCCUUCACUUGGUACUCUGGGGCUAAGUAUUUAACUUCUAUACCUCAGUCUCCCCAUCUGUGAAACAGGGAUGGUAACAGUGCCUAUUCUGUCUGGGUUGUUGUGAAGAGAUAAUCCAUAUGUCAAUAGCUAAUAAGCAGUUCUGAUUUUAUUGUGACUAAUCAUGGAUUAGAUUGAAUAGUCAAGAUAUCUUUCUAUUACCAGCAACUGAACUAGUAGCUUCAAGGGAUACAAAGAUGAGUGGAACAUAUAGUUUCCACCUUAGGAAGUCUAGCUGAGGAAUUAAGGUGUAAAUUUACUGACAGUUUGAAUAACCAGGAUGUUGUAUAGGGAUAUAAAGCCAGAACACCACUGGACACAAUGGCUUAUGCCUGUAAUUCCAGCACUUUGGGAGGCCGAGGCAGGGAGAUCGCUUGAGCCCAAGAGUUCGAGACCAGGCUGGGCAACAUAGUGAGAGCCCGUCUCUACAAAAAAUGCAAAAAUUAGCCAGGCAUGGUGAUGUGUGCUUUUAGUACCAGCUACUCGGGAGGCUGAGGUGGGAAGAUCGUUUAAGCCUGAGAGGUCAAGGCUGCAGUGAGCCAUGUUCACACCACUGCACUCUAGCCUGGGUGACAGAUUUAGACCCUGUCUC
rnacentral:sRNA from 1 species